GCUGGCUUUAGGGAGCUGGACAGCUGUUGCCAGGAGAUGGAUUCAAACAGAACAGAGAAAACGGAAUCCUGUGAUAAUGACUGUGCCUGUAUGUAUGGACACGAUGUUCUUUCUUCUCAUAGCUCAAAAUGUUCUAAAGAUAAAAUCUAAUGAUUUCUUAUAGGAAGGCUAGGCUUGGUGGGUACAAGUAAGAAAGCCAAGCAGAGAGAAGUCUGGACUUUGCCUUCUCCACCUCCUUGGAAGACAGGCUGCUCAUCCCAUUGUGGUGUCUCGGCUGGUGUAUGUUUUCUGCCUAGGCUUAAUGGACAGCACGAGGAGGUAGGGACUGACGUUACCCAUGUUUUACAGUGGAAGAACCUGAGGCUUAAAGAGAUCCUGAGCUUUAAAAUAGCUAGCCAAACGAAAACACCAAUGGAGACUCUUUGGAAGGGACUGUGCUCAGUCUGAGGACCCAGAGCCAAGUCACAGACAUGACCUCAAAAGCCAGUACUGUGCUCUUCCACAUGGCAUCCACUGGCCACGUGUGGUGAUUUAACAUGUGAAAUGAAGUCUCAAGGCUGAGAUGUGAUGCGAGUGUAUAAUACACACUAGAUCUCAAAAACUUAGUAGAAAUAAAAAAUGUAAAAUAUCAUAAAAAGAUUUUAAAACUACAUAAAAAGAAAAAAAAUUUCAAAAGAAAUAAAGACAACAAAACAAAAA